ensembl:lncRNA
GGUAGCCUAGUGGUUAGAGCAGGUAGUCUAGUGGUUAGAGCAGGUAGACUAGUGGUUAGAGACAGGUAGCCUAGUGGUUAGAGCAGGUAGCCUAGUGGUUAGAGGCAGGUAGCCUAGUGGUUAGAGACAGGUAGCCUAGAGGUUAGAGACAGGUAGCCUAGUGGUUAGAGACAGGUAACCUAGUGGUUAGAGCAGGUAGUCUAGUGGUUAGAGCAGGUAGCCUAGUGGUUAGAGACAGGUAGCCUAGUGGUUAGAGCAGGUAGUCUAGUGGUUAGAGCAGGUAGACUAGUGGUUAGAGA